rnacentral:rRNA from 1 species
GCCAGACUCCUACGGGAGGCAGCAGUGGGGAAUAUUGCACAAUGGGGGAAACCCUGAUGCAGCAACGCCGCGUGAGUGAAGAAGUAUUUCGGUAUGUAAGGCUCUAUCAGCAGGGAAGAAGAUGACGGUACCUGAAUAAGAAGCCCCGGCUAACUACGUGCCAGCAGCCGCGGUAAUACGUAGGGGGCAAGCGUUAUCCGGAUUUACUGGGUGUAAAGGGAGCGCAGACGGCAGUGCAAGUCUGGAGUGAAAGCCCGGGGCCCAACCCCGGAACUGCUCUGGAAACUGUGCGGCUAGAGUACUGGAGGGGCAGGCGGAAUUCCUAGUGUAGCGGUGAAAUGCGUAGAUAUUAGGAGGAACACCAGUGGCGAAGGCGG